ACUGCCCCCAGCCAGGAAGCUACUCUUUAAAUAACUGUUAAGCUGCUUCAUUUUUUUUUUCUUUUUUUUUUUUUCCUAGCACCCUCCGAAAGUUAUACAAAUCAUUUUGUAUUUGGGAAGCAGAUAGCAAAGAUUUGGAGAGACCAUAAACCAGAGAAUAGUCAAAGCUUAACGUCCACCUUUGCUCAAAAGUGUAUUAACUGAGAGUAUAGCCAACCAGAAAUUAGACACAGGACUCAGUGAACGUAUUUCACUUAGAACAAAUAGCCUCCUUAGUACAUCUGGACCAUGCAUAGUUGUUACCAUAAUAAGGCCCUGGUAGAAUAUAAAAUCACAUUAAAAAUAAAUUCCUUAGCCAACAAUAAUUGUUUUCAGGAAGGAGAGAAAGUUUUAGAAAGUUUAAGUGUAAUGUAAUUGGGAUAUUCAUAUACAUAUAUAUAUAACUGUCACUAGCAAGUGAAUCAAGAUAAACCUGCAGAGUGCUGUGUUUAGUAGAUAAGUAGAUGGCCUUGCUAUUCCUCACAUGCAUGCAUUUAGCUUUCUCAUAGUCUGCCCAUGUACAACUUCAGAGAAGAUUUAAUUCACAAUUUUUAAAUGUGUGAAGUUUAUUAUUUCAGCCCAGUUACAUGUAUAGUUAAUUCACAUUAGAACACAAUUAAUAGCUAUUGGCAGUUAUUGGAACAUAGCAUAUACAACUGUUCAAUAUUUUCUAUCAAUCUAUAUGUGCAAAGGAGUAUAAUGUGGCUUAUUAUUGUUGCCAUAAAAGAUAUUUGGUCAAUGUGGACGUUAAGACAUAGAUGAAUUAAUUUCCCUAAGGUUAUAUAUGAACUUGGUGAUUGCCAAGUGCAGUGGCUCAUUUCUGUAAUCCCAACAGCUUGGGAGUCUGAGGUGGGAAGAUCACUUGAGCUCAGGAGUUCAAGACCAGCCUGGGGUGAUAUAGUAACACCAUGUCUCUAGAAAAACUAAAAAAAAAAAAAAAAAAAAAAAAAAGCUGGGUGUGGUGGCAUGCACCUGUUGUCACAACUACUAAGGAAGCUGAGGUGGGAGGAUCGCUUGGGCCUGGGAGGUUGAGGCUGCAGUGAGCUGUGAUGAUACCACUGCACUCCAGUCUGGGUGACAGAGCAAGACCCUGUCUCAAAAAUAGAUAAAAAAUAAAGUUGACGAUUUAAAAUCAUGAAAAUAUAGAGCAAAAAUGCCUAUUGUAUUUACAAUUGUAACUUUCCAAAAUAUGCCAAUUCCAGAUACUCAAUUUAUUAUUUUUUCAUUAAUAAUCUUUCAUUGGAUAAAACCACUCAGAUUUAUAUUCUGGUCUGCUGCUUAUUAAAAGUACAACCUUUGGGCAAGUGACUUCAACCCCUCUGAGCCUCAUUCCUUCAUUUAUAAAACAGUGAAAAUGAUAAUAUUACCAUCUCAUGAGGUUGUUUCAGGAAUUGAAUGAGAUUAAAAGAUUUUUUAGAAUAGUCUCUGGUAAACUCUCAUUAAAUGUUGGCUGUCAUUUUAAUCAUUAUUAUUAAUAUUAUUACUAAAUUAUGCUAGUUUCCACAAGCAGUACACAGAGGUGUAUGAGUGAAAGGCCUCUCUAUUCUAUCUACCUCUAUUCCAAACACUGAAUUCAUCAAUGUUAACUGAUAGUAUAUCCUUUCUCACUUUUCUCUAGUUUACACAUAUCAUAUAUGUGUGUUUAUGAGAUUUUUAACAUAAAAUUGCACACACACACACACACACACACACACACAACAUAUAUAUGCAAACUUGGAUUUUUUACCUUAAUAUAUUAUGGCCAUCUCACCAGGUUAAAAAAUAUAUAAAUUGAAAUUACUAUUUUAAUACAACAUACUGUUCUGUGAUAUGAACAUAUUUUAUUCAAUAAAAAUACCUGGAUUGAUAGCCAGUUUUCACCCUACCAUAAAUUGUAAUAAACCAUAAAUUGUAAUAAACUUAGUUACACCAGUACUUGUAAAAAUAUUCUUUUAUGUUGUUACUUUUGUUUUACUAGAGAGGUUUCCAACAGUGGAAUUGCUGACACAAAGUGGAUAUUUAAAAUCUUAAUAUAUACUGUAAGAUUACUGCAUGAAAAAGUUUUUUAUUUCAUAUAGUCACCCAGUAAGUGUGAAAAUGCUCAUUUUCCUAUAGUUUUACCAGCAUAGAUUAUUCCAAACCUCAUAAACUACUGCAGCUCUGAUGGGUGAAGAAUGUAUUGACCUGGCUGCUAGAGGGGUUGAGCAUCUUUGCAUUUGUACAAUUCCCACUGGCCAUGUACAAUUCCCACUGCAGCAAACUGCCUGUUCAUAUUCUUGCCUCUUUUAUUUUUUAUAGUAUUAUUUGUAUUUCUCUUACCCAUUUUCAGGAGCUAAGUGUAUUUUGUAAGAUUAAGGCUUUGCUUGUCAUUUGUAUUGCUAAUAUAUUUUUCCAAUAUUUAUUUAUUUAUUUGUGUAUUUAUUUAGAGAUGGAGUCUCAAUCUGUUGCCCAGGUUGGAGUGCAGUGGUGCAA
rnacentral:lncRNA from 10 species